CCGGCACUCCAGAACUGGCAUCUGACCCCUCUUGAUGGGCCGCGGUGUAUGAUCCGGUGCCCAGACAC
rnacentral:snoRNA from 1 species